rnacentral:misc_RNA from 1 species
AAACUGCCAAUGACAUCAAUAUGAAACUGCCAAUGACAUCAAUAUGAUCUUAAAGGCAUCUAUCACUUGAUGGCUUGACACAAAGAAAAAAUUACCAAAAUAUGUGCAUUACACUGAUACAUCAGAGAGAGAGAGAGAGAUGAUGUAUCAGAGUUCCAUUCACCCAGUGAGCAAAUUGUCCAAGUGAUAGAUCUUUGAUCAGUCCAAGAUGCAUUAAUUCCAUCCAAAGAAAAGGUUGGAACAGCUAUAUCAUAGAUAAUUUGUGAAUAUGUUUUCCUUAACAGCAGCUUUUGCUGUCAUGAGGCAUUCUCCACUAUCACACAAUUUCAGGUAUCUUUAUUAUACUUUGCAAAACAAGAAACAUGAAAAGGCCUUGUUUAUACAAUCAAGUCAAGCAUGAACAUCUAAUUUCAUACAAAAUAGAAGGUGAAAAUGGGGCAAUCCAUCCAAUAAAACAAGAGGAACCAAUAUAUACCAGUAAGCUAAGAGUGAAAUAUUAUGUAGUAGUUCAGAAGAGAGAAAGAGUAUUACCUGUGUAUAUUUGAGCAU